rnacentral:rRNA from 1 species
UACAGAGAUGGCUAGCGUUGUUCGGAUUCAUUGGGUGUAAAGGGUGCGUAGGCGGCCCAGAAAGUCAGAUGUGAAAGCCCACAGCUCAACUGUGGAAUUGCAUUUGAAACUUCUAGGCUGGAGUGUGGGAGAGGUGAAGGGAAUUCCCGGUGUAAGGGUGAAAUCUGCAGAGAUCGGGAGGAACACCAGUGGCGAAGGCGCUUCACUGGCCCACAACUGACGCUGAGAGCACGAAGGCAUGGGGAGCAAACGGGAUUAGAUACCCCGGUAGUCCAUGCAGUAAACGAUGUUCACUAGGUGCCGGUUCCGUUUAAUCGGGGUCGGUGCCGCCGCUAACGCAUUAAGUGAACCACCUGGGGAGUACAGUCGCAAGGCUGAA